rnacentral:rRNA from 1 species
AACAGGAUUAGAUACCCUGGUAGUCCAUGCCGUAAACGAUGAUUACUAAGUGUUGGAGGGUUUCCGCCCUCCAGUGCUGCAGCUAACGCAUUAAGUAAUCCGCCUGGGGAGUACGACCGCAAGGUUGAAACUCAAAAGAAUUGACGGGGGCCCGCACAAGCGGUGGAGCAUGUGGUUUAAUUCGAAGCUACGCGAAGAACCUUACCAGGUCUUGACAUCUUCUGCCAACCUAAGAGAUUAGGCGUUCCCUUCGGGGACAGAAUGACAGGUGGUGCAUGGUUGUCGUCAGCUCGUGUCGUGAGAUGUUGGGUUAAGUCCCGCAACGAGCGCAACCCUUAUUACUAGUUGCCAGCAUUCAGUUGGGCACUCUAGUGAGACUGCCGGUGACAAACCGGAGGAGGGUGGGGACGACGUCAAAUCAUCAUGCCCCUUAUGACCUGGGCUACACACGUGCUACAAUGGAUGGUACAACGAGUCGCGAAACCGCGAGGUUUAGCUAAUCUCUUAAAACCAUUCUCAGUUCGGACUGUAGGCUGCAACUCGCCUACACGAAGUCGGAAUCGCUAGUAAUCGCGGAUCAGCAUGCCGCGGUGAAUACGUUCCCGGGCCUUGUACACACCGCCCGUCACACCAUGAGAGUUUGUAACACCCAAAGCCGGUGGGGUAACCUUUUAGGAGCUAGCCGUCUAAGGUGGGACAGAUGAUUAGGGUGAAGUCGUAACAAGGUAACC